UGCGCUCGUUCCAGGGCGCACAGCCGGGAGACGCAGCCGCCAUGUUGGCUGGGAGGCUGGACGCGGCAACCUCCCGGAGGAGUAGGGGCUGAGACUGAGGCGGCGUAGGUGCAGUUCCCCUCCGUUCUUUUCCAACCUAGACCUAAUUCCCCAUUGCAUUCUUUAGAGUUUUCCUCUUCUAAUCCUCCAGAAUUGUACUGUUUUCUGGUACCCGUUUUAAGCAGACCUCUCCCUGGGGGGCGGCCAGGCAGGCCUGCCCCCUUCUCCACAGACAGGUGGUCGUCGUGCUGGCGUCCGUCAGGGUGACCCGUAGUGGGAGAUCUCAGGACCAGACGAGGACUUUCGGGCCUUGGCACCGCCUUGGGCAGCUGGGUCAACUGGUGAAAAACAAGAUUGAAGAAGACGCUGGGGGAGCAGCAAACCGCUCAGGAUUCCAGAAAUCGAAAAACAACCGAGGUAAAAGAGUUCCUGAUCUCUAAAGCACACUUUGAGUUCUCAUUCUCCUCACUCUCAAUAUGCUUGUGCCUUCUGAUCACUCCCACCCCCAAGCAUUGGUUCAGAGCACUGGCGGAACCUGUGGAUGGAUAUGUUAAAUUCAGCACAUCCAAGACCGACCGACCUCAUCUCCUUCUCAUAAUCUCUCUUCCAUUCUGAAGAAGAUGAAGACAAAGAUGAAGGAGGAGGUGGGGAGAGGAAGAAGGAGAAGGAAAAGUGGAAGGAGAAGGAGG